ACUUGUAUGAAUAGUAAAUUAGUAAUAAGAAAAAUCAUCUUCAAUUACAUUGGCUUUUUGGAUUUUUUUACCACUAAAAUCACACCACAUUAUUCAUUGAGAAUACUUCUCUGUGUAUGCUGCUUCUAGAUGCUAGGAAUCAUUCUAUUGUAGUUACAUAUGUGGUCAAAAAUUAUAAAUUGGUAAGCAGAUGCACGCAUGGUUGUGUUCAGAUGUCUAGACUUUAGGAGUUAACGUGCCUGCCUGCCUUAUGUUAGAGUUGAAGAACAAGCUAUAUGUUUGUCCUUAUAUCAUGAUUUGUUUUGUUAAUUUUUCAUAUUUGAAUAUGUUUUGAUGGGACUGGCUGUUUACUCUCUGAUUAUAUUACCCUCUGACCCAUCAACAGGCAGUAGCUGCUGGAAGCCUAAUG
rnacentral:misc_RNA from 1 species